AUUGAACGCUGGCGGCAUGCCUUACACAUGCAAGUCGAACGGCAGCACGGGAGCAAUCCUGGUGGCGAGUGGCGAACGGGUGAGUAAAGUAUCGGAACGUGCCCAGUCGUGGGGGAUAACGUAGCGAAAGUUACGCUAAUACCGCAUACGAUCUAUGGAUGAAAGCGGGGGAUCGCAAGACCUCGCGCGAUUGGAGCGGCCGAUAUCAGAUUAGGUAGUUGGUGGGGUAAAGGCUCACCAAGCGGACGAUCUGUAGCUGGUCUUAGAGGACGACCAGCGAAACGAGGACUGGGACGCGGCGCAGACUCGUACGGGAGGCAGCAGUGGGGAAUUUUGGACAAUGGGCACAAGCCUGGUCCAGCCAUGCCGCGUGCAGGAUGAAGGCCUUCGGGUUGUAAACGGCUUUGGUACGGAACGAAAAGGUUUGACUUAAUACGUUGGACGCAUGACGGUACCGUAAGAAUAAGCACCGGCUAACUACGUGCCAGCCGCCGCGGUAA
rnacentral:rRNA from 1 species